UCUCAUUUAAGGAACAUUAGUAACAUUCAGCCUUUUCAGCAUUUUAUGAAACAUUAACAUUGUAAUAAAUACAAUUUCCACAAAUGAAAAAUUUGGGGACCGUCCCCGUAUAAUGUCCAUUGGACCAAUAAAGAUGUUGGUUCAAGAAUUUACUGGUUAAAUACAUUUACAAAAAAUGUGACAGACAAUUUAUAGGUUGUAAGAUGGCCUUUUUAUUGAAGUGAGUUGGCAGGAUAUGAUGUCAUCAACAGGAACUGGACGUGAUGUGGAGGAAGUGAUUUCUGAAGACCGGACGUAUCGUCAUUGAAAUGAGCCGGAAGUGAUGUCAUCAAAUGGAACCAGAAGUGACGUUUGGCUGCCAUCUUGGGAACCCGGAAGCACAAUGAUAUGAUGAAGCCUGAAGCCUGGACGUUGUAGGACAGGCGGUCAUGGGACCACAUCAUGACUUCGUCAAUGGUAUCUUCACAAGUUAUUACAACUUUAACUUGCAGUAUCCUAAAGAUACCUCAUCUACAUUGGAGUUUAUCCAAAGGUGUUUUUUUGGUAUUAACCUAGAGUCGGGCUAAAAAUCAAAAAAAGAAACACGGACACAUCAACCAACAAGUCUGUACACUUCUGAGGAAAUUAAUGGAUUUUGAAUAGAUGUCAAUGUAGACAUUAUUUUCUAAAAGGACUCCUAAUAAUUCAAAAUUGAUUUAAAGUGUUUUAAUCCCCUGU